CACGUAGUUAGCCGGGGCUUCUUAGUCAGGUACCGUCAUUCUCUUCCCUGCUGAUAGGGCUUUACAUACCGAAAUACUUCUUCACCCACGCGGCGUUGCUGCAUCAGGGUUUCCCCCAUUGUGCAAUAUUCCCCACUGCUGCCUCCCGUAGGAGUUUGGGCCGUGUCUCAGUCCCAAUGUGGCCGGCCACCCUCUCAGGUCGGCUACUGAUCGUCGCCUUGGUGGGCCGUUACCCCGCCAACCAGCUAAUCAGACGCGGAUCCAUCUCAUACCGCCGGAGCUUUUCACCCGGAAGCAUGCGCUCCCGUGUGCUUAUGCGGUAUUAGCAGUCAUUUCUAACUGUUAUCCCCCUGUAUGAGGCAGGUUAUCCACGCGUUACUCACCCGUCCGCCGCUAAAGCUAACACACUUCCUUCCGAAAAAUUCCGUGUCUUUGCUUCCGCUCGACUUGCAUGUGUUAAGCACGCCGCCAGCGUUCAUCCUGAGCCAGGAUCAAACUCU
rnacentral:rRNA from 1 species